rnacentral:misc_RNA from 1 species
AAGUCGUAACAAGGUUUCCGUAGGUGAACCUGCGGAAGGAUCAUUACUGAGUCCUAAUCCGACAUUUUUUUGCUGUGCAUUUACUUGCACGCUCGAAUAUGUUGGCUCUUCUGACUUACACACCUGUGCACUUUCGGACAAGCCUUUUGUAGGCGAGUCUGCUUUUUUACACCUUUUUGAAUGUCCUUUGUAAAAUUAUCAGUCGCUCUGUGAUGGAGUUGAUUGUACAAGUUAAAUACAACUUUCAGCAACGGAUCUCUUGGCUCUC